GCAAGUCGAACGGUAAAAUAGAGACGCUUGCUUCUUUGAUGACGAGUGGCGGACGGGCGAGUAAUGCUUGGGAAUCUGGCUUAUGGAGGGGGAUAACUACGGGAAACUGUAGCUAAUACCGCGUAAUAUCGAAAGAUUAAAGUGUGGGACCUUCGGGCCACAUGCCAUAGGAUGAGCCCAAGUGGGAUUAGGUAGUUGGUGAGGUAAAGGCUCACCAAGCCAACGAUCUCUAGCUGGUCUGAGAGGAUGAUC
rnacentral:rRNA from 1 species